rnacentral:rRNA from 1 species
UACGAAGGGGGCUAGCGUUGUUCGGAAUUACUGGGCGUAAAGAGUGUGUAGGCGGUGCUCCAAGUCUGGUGUGAAAUCUCCCGGCUUAACUGGGAGGGUGCAUUAGAAACUGGAAUGCUAGAGGAUGGGAGAGGUAAGCGGAAUUCCUGGUGUAGCGGUGAAAUGCGUAGAUAUCAGGAGGAACACCUGUGGUGUAGACAGCUUACUGGACCAUUUCUGACGCUGAGACACGAAAGCGUGGGUAGCAAACAGG